UACGUAGGGUGCAAGCGUUUGCCGGAAUUAUUGGGCGUAAAAGAGCUCGUAGGCGGUUUGUCGCGCCUGCUGUGAAAAACUCGGGGGCUUAACCCCCGGGCCUGCAGUGGGUACGGGCAGACUAGAGUGCGGUAGGGGGAGACUGGAAUUCCUGGUGUAGCGGUGAAAUGCGCAGAUAUCAGGGAGGGAACACCGGUGGCGAAAGGCGGGGUCUCUGGGGUAGUAAACUGACGUUGAGGAGCGAAAAGCGUGGGGUAGCGAACAGG
rnacentral:rRNA from 1 species